AAAUCAGAAAAAGAAAAUGCAUGGAUAUAGAGGAUUACUAUAAGGGAGAUAAACCAUUUCAUAAAAACAUGAAAAGCAAAAGUAACAAUCAGUUGAAUCU